rnacentral:rRNA from 1 species
GUUUUUGUUUGUUCUCGAGAGAUGUGUACACCACACCACUGAUAUGUUUCGACGGUGCGUCGCGUCCCGCAGGCAGAAGCGCCUGACGUUUGUUUGAAGAGGGAGCUGCUUCGUCAACUGAGAGGACCAGAGAGAGGGUACCGACCCGUGCGGGUACGAGCGAAGGAGGACCGUACGAAGCGGCGGAGCUAGGACAACUGCCGCGUCCGCGUCGGCUGGUGCGGCUGCCUCCAGUUCCACCCCAAGUAGCAGCUGCGGCCGAGCGGUCAGCCGUUCUAGCGGUGCUGGUGUUAGGGGUACCGGGACCUCCUGAAGAUGCGGCGGAUGGGGUUGAGGAGGCAGGCCCAAGCCUAGCACGGCGUACUGAGGCCGCCUCUGCAGCAGCGGCGACGCAGGCGGCGCAACGUCGACUACUGCCAGGUCCCUCGCGCACGGUAGGAGCCGGGCGUCAGCAGGCAGCUCAGCCGGAAGCAGCGGCUGGAGCGGUGCGUCCGCCUCCAGGGGCAGCACAGGAAGAGCCGGUGCUCGGGCAGCCACAGCGGACCGUGCCGCUCCAAGAAGCGGGCACGGCGCGACUCGCUGCGCAGCGUCCGGCUGCGGUAGCGGCGCGAGCGGUGCGUGAAGCCCACCGCGGCGCAGCACGGGUAGAUGGUCCUGCUGCUGAUGCCGCGGCGGAAGCACGGGAAGGAGCAGCUGCGGGAGUGGCGGCUCGCGCGGCUCCAGGGGAUGGCGACGCGCGAGGGCCGGCGCCGCAACGUGCUGCGGUAGCGGCGCCGCGACGAUGCGUACCUCAGGCUCGUCUGCGCGCAGAAACACGACGUGUGCGCGGGGCUCGAGCGCUUCUUUCACAAGCGGCGGCGGCACCUUUGGCCGUACUACCGGCUCCCGAUGCACACCCAGUAGUGGCUGCCCGAGUGCCCGGAGGAGCCGAGCCAGCUGGGCGGCGUCCCGCAGUAGCCCGACUGCGGGAUGCACGGUGUGUGCUGCGCCGACGCGCUGCAGUUCUUUGCUACCCGCGUGGCCAUGUACGCGCUGGUGGCCCUGCGGCUCGGCCGCGUUCGGCACUACCCGACGAUGCGAGACACCCGCAUGCUGCGGCGCACCCGGCAGCGCAGGCGUCGUCCCGCUGAGUCGAGGCCGCUGAAUAGCAGCGGUGGCCCCGAGCAUCCGCCGUUCCCGCCGGGCUGGCUGUAGCGGCCCGAGCCGUUCAGUUCUAGUCCGGAGUUGAAGGAGGCUCGAUAGUUGUCGUGCUUUAAGCUGCCGGAGCCUCCGUUCAAGCUCGAGCAGUUGCCGCUCGAGCGGCACGGCCGGAAGGUCCACCACUUGUAGUACCUGUUGCCUUCUCUCUCCUAGUAGCCCAAGACCUGCGGAGCCGUGCCCGACUCGGCCGUCCACCUGUCGCCAAGGUUGCUCAGCUCGCCGCUCGAGGCCGGCCACUAGACCGGCCCUCUAAGCUGCCAGGCCGGUUGCCCCACCCACGUCGGCUGCUCGCCCGCCUUCGACGCCCACCGCCACGGCCCCUUGCACAGCCUGUCGAUGUUCGGCUAGCACGCCGACCUCCACCUAGGCCGCUGCUUGGUCUGCUGCCGGUCGCCCAAGCACUAGCUCCACAAGCUCCGCCGCCACGCCGACGACGGGAUGCGGGACGGCAAGCUCAUGCACUUCCGCCGCAGGUACGGGAUGCUGCUGGAACAGGUCCGCCAACCGUUACCCUGCAAGCUGCGCCGCCACCGUCUGUAGUGGUACUGCCGCUUGGCCAGCUUGAUGCACCUGAAGUGCGACGGAAUGCGCCCCUGCCGGUAACGGUACAACCACGCCCACGCGCUGGUCGCCUCGUUGUUCGCCUGCACCCAGAAGGAAUUCGGCGAGGCGAUGCUGGAGACCAAGCAAUCGCGGCGGAAGAAGGAGAAGUGGCCGAAGCACCAGACCCGGUAGCUCGUGGCGCGGUUGGCGCUCAAGGCGCCCGGCCGGAGGAUGGUCCAGCCGUGCGAGGAGAUGAAGCCGAAGAGGUGGGAGCAGAAGCGGGUGUCCCUCUGCGAGUUCUCGUUGGAGAGGUCCAAGCACCACGAGCACACCCAGAAGCAGCACGAGUAGGACGUCAGGUCGAUGUGCCGCUCGGAGUGCAGGUACGAGUGCCACGGCGUCGACCUCGGCCGGCACCGGCUAAUGCCGCUCGACGUCGCCCCGUGCCUCUACCAGCCCCAGUACUUGUUGAGGAAGCACGAGUCCCGGUACUGCCGCAGCCCCAAGGGCGUCCCUUCCGAGCACGCCAUGGGCUUGAGCGUCUGGUAGGUGCUUACGGACGAGUUGCCGUCGUAACCGCGGCAGCACUUGCUCUGCGGGAUGGAGUCCUAGAAGGAGUUCUGGAUGGCGCUGUUGAAGUGGUACUGCCCCGGCGAGUUGUCCUGGCCGCCCAAGCCCAAGCGGAAGGGGUUCCCCAGCGGCAUGCACUGCCUGGACAGCGUCCGGUAGGACUUCGAGUGGCUUUCGCUACUCUACUUGUACUAGCUCGCGUUCACCAAGCCGCUGGGGUUGCUACUACCACGAUGUGUCCUGCCGCCCGGCAAGUGUAGGUUGUCGGAGUCGAAGUCGUCGAAGACCCCGGACAAGGAGUAGUGGCCGCGGUGGAGUGAGGAGACGACGCAGCAGGUGGAGCGGUGGAAACAGCGCCGGUUGGCUGCCCUCGAGGGCGGCGUGAACAGGACCUUCCUGACCGAGAGCUCAAACAAGUUCGAGAAGCUGCUGUUCCUGGGGAGCAGCGUGUGGAAGUCCCAGUUCCUGCUGCCGCCGCGGCACAGACAGGCCUUGUUGUGCCAACGGAGGGGAGGAUAACGCGUGUCGCUCGAACCGUCGGGCGAGUCGCGCGGGAUGUGCUCGCUCACCAGCCCCUGCCGUUCGGGCCGUUGGCCACUCUAGCUCGAUCGGCGGCCAGCUGUCCUCUCCCUACUCCGCCGAGACUUAGGGCUGCCGAGACCUCUCUUACCGUCUCCGGGAAUUUGGAACCCACUAGUUGAUGCCGAGAGGCUCUGAGGCUGAACUAAGAGAACGUCGCUACUGCUACUGCUACUUAUCGAUCUAACUAACAUCACUGAUCACUCGUUACCUCUUAAUGACAUGUAACAUCUGUUCGUUGACAUUUAACAUUUUCAGCCUGUGGUUUUUUUUCUUCUGGCAUAAUGUUAGUCAGAACGAUUCAGACUCAGUCUUCAGAGUCAGCCACGAUAUAAGUAC